AAUAGUCAGUCAUUGCUGUUUACCUGUGUCGCAUGGUAUCGGAGUGGUGUAAUUUACCUGGUCUGCCCGUGUCGGGGUGCUUAUUUGACAGUGCGAAGCAUGUUUUGAUAGUAAUUAAUCGGGAAGACGGAUUUCAAAUUGACAUAUCCUUUACACAAACAUGAAUGACAAGGAUGAUAGUGUCACCACCAAACAAUCGGACAUUCCCGAUUGACAGCAUCCAAAAUAUGCAAUAAGAUGUCAUGGGUGCAAAGGUUUUGUUCGCAAACUUCAUAGCAGGGCAGAUCACUCCUUUUCUGGUUGCAAUGCAGAUUGUUCCACCAGACUCUGCAAGCCGAUGUUUACAGACAAUCAAGAUCGCCCUUGUAGUCGAACCUAAAUGCAUGUGCUUUAAUUUAGAUUUUGAUAUAUAGACCAGCCAAUGUUUAUAUGAUGUGAAAGGAUGCAACUUUUAAGUAUUAUUUGAUAAUAUGUAUGUGACUUGUUGGAGUGGAUUUUUUGCUGAAUAGAUGAUUUUAAUAAAAUCUUUAUGUAUAUCUUUCAAA